UACGUAGGGGGCGAGCGUUGUCCGGAUUUAUUGGACGUAAAGAGCGUGUAGGCGGCCAGGUAGGUCCGUUGUGAAAACUCGGAGGCUCAACCUCGAGACGUCGAUGGAAACCAUCUGGCUAGAGUCCGGAAGAGGAGAGUGGAAUUCCUGGUGUAGCGGUGAAAUGCGCAGAUAUCAGGAAGAACACCUAUGGCGAAGGCAGCUCUCUGGGACGGUACUGACGCUGAGACGCGAAAGCGUGGGGAGCGAACAGG
rnacentral:rRNA from 1 species